rnacentral:rRNA from 1 species
GAUGAACGCUAGCGACAGGCCUAACACAUGACAAGUCGAGGGGCAUCACAUGAAGUAGCAAUACGGAUGGUGGCGACCGGCGCACGGGUGAGUAACACGUAUGCAACCUGCCUUCAACAAGGGGAUAACCCGUUGAAAGACGGACUAAUACCCUAUAACACAGGGGUCCCGCAUGGGAAUAUUUGUUAAAGGACAACCGGUUGAAGAUGGGCAUGCGUUCCAUUAGCUAGUUGGCGGGGUAACGGCCCACCAAGGCAACGAUGGAUAGGGGAACUGAGAGGUUUAUCCCCCACACUGGUACUGAGACACGGACCAGACUCCUACGGGAGGCAGCAGUGAGGAAUAUUGGUCAAUGGACGCAAGUCUGAACCAGCCACGUCGCGUGAAGGAAGACGGCCCUACGGGUUGUAAACUUCUUUUAUACGGGAAUAAAGUGCCCCACGCGUGGGGUUUUGCAUGUACCGUAUGAAUAAGGAUCGGCUAACU